rnacentral:tRNA from 1 species
GGGGCUUUAGCUCAGCUGGGAGAGCGCUUCCAUGGCAUGGAAGAGGUCAUCGGUUCGAUCCCGAUAAGCUCCACCA